CCUUUCAGACAUAUUUAAUGCAUAUAGAAUUAAAUCUUCUUUGCCUUUCAAAUAUACCUAUUGUUUUCUAAUUCUUUAUUUUCAUCUAAUUUGCCUCCUUUUCUUAUUCCUCUCACUAUCUCUCAUUGAGUUUCCACAGUAUGUGCUCCCCUUUUACUGCUUCGGAUUUGAGGCUUAAUUUUUUAAGAGUGAAGGUUGGAUAGUUUUGUUUUUUUCUUUCACUUCUUCCCCGAGCUCUGGCCGCUAAGGAUUCAUGUCCUCCCACUGUUUCAUUACCUCUUCCCUCAUCUCUCAUGUGUAUGUUUUCUUUGUGGGAGAAAUUACUUUGCUAUGUUUUCUUAAUUUUCUCGUUAAAAUUUUCAUCUGCUCCAUGGCAAUGUUUUUUGAUGAAUCUUCUUUACCUGCUGUUUGCUUUUUCUUUUUUUUUCCUCCUUUGUUUCUUGUCAAAACUCUGUAUAUGUUACUCAUUAUUGAAGCAGGUAAUGUUUUUCUUCCCCGUGGACCUCAGGUGUGAGAAAAGCCAAGAUUGUCUCCCAGGUUGGCUAAAUUUUCCUUAUGACCCAGGGUUCAUGUAAAUUCACUAAGCCUUGAAUUCUUUCCAACCAAUGGUGAAGAUUCCCCGAGGCAAAGUCUCUCCUCCCCUGUUGCCACAGAAACAGACCAUUUCCUACAACUAUGGCUUGUCUGAGUCCUGAGCCAGCAGAGCUCAGGCCACAGCACCUGCACCCAUUUUCUGCUGCUGCACACAAGGGCUCUGUGCAUUCCGCAUCCAGAAAAUGAAAGGAGGAUUACUAACUUUAUGCCAUCUUCAAACCAGAAGAUCUUAGAUUGGUAAGAUCAUGUUGGCCAUGGCAUGGAGAAUGGGCUGGAGAUGGAGAGACUGGAGGUUGGAAGUCCAGUUAGGAGAUUGCUCCUGCGCUGGGGAGUUGGUGUUAGGACAGAAGAUCCAAGACGCAUUUCAGAGGUAACUGCCGAAUCUUACUGGCUGGUUCGCUGUGUGUUUGGGAGUGGGGGUGGAUCAGGAAGAAAUGGGAUAUUUCAGGACUGGCUGCUGGAGGCUGCUUACGAUGUAACGUGGAGCUGGGCUUCCUGCCUGUUCUGUCGCUUCCUGCCACAUUCCAGGCUGCAUCUGUGUGGCUGGGCCCUCUGGGAAGGUCAUAGGGAGUCCGAAUGGGGCAAUGAGCUUCCCAGCUGUUCCCUUGAAGGUCCCCUGCAGAUAUCUGGAUGAAACUCUUGACUGCUGGAAACUUUCAAGAAGGCCUGAGGCGGUCAGAAGCCAAGUUGUGGUUCCAAAAUUUCCGGCCUAUUCACCAAGCCUCCCUGAUGAUGAGAUCUCAAGAUAGAACAAAAACAAGACAACUGGGUGCAAAACGCAGGGUGGAACUGUUGAUAUCCCAGUGUUUCCUGCGAAGUCCUGGCUAAGGAACACAGGGAGGGAAAGGGGACCUAACAGAAGUCAUAGAGCCCAGUCCCUGCCUCCACAAAGGCUUUCCAGGUCAUCCAAACUACGAAAAUUGAACAGAGAGCUAAAUCUCUCAGAUUCUCCAAAGGGGGGAAUCUCUGAUUCUUUUCUUUAAUCAGUCUGCGGUAAGUCCUGAGCACUGACUUUUUUCCCCCUUAGUGUACAACCAGGGUUGAGAACUGAGGGCUACACAAUCUCAGAGAUGAUCAGAAUUCAAAGUUAGGAAUGUGCUGGCUCCACGUCUGUCCACUCUUGUGUAGUAACACAGCUGCCUGCCUGUGUACAGGAUGAAAUAUCUUCAGUUCUGUUCCCUGGGAUAGACUGACAGCUGUGGAAUCAAUACUGUGUCUUCUCCUAGGCUAUGUUUCUUGACUCCGCUUACGUGGUUACUGCCAAACCUGGCCCCAGUGCCUUCUUCACACAGCUUUGACAACCAGGGCAAUAUUUCCAGUCAUCUAACAGAAGCUGCUCCUUCUCGGUGAUGUCUUUGGAAAAUUACCAGCAAUUACUAAGCUAGCUAUUGGGAAAUCUUAAGGAUUUACUUUAGCAAGAAUAAAAUGAGGUCUUCUGGUCUGUUAGGACCUCUGUUCCUAAAAUCACAGAACCACCGCUGUGCUCUACAAUGGAAUAGUAUGCAUUCAUUUGCAAGCGUGCUCAGAUAAGACAGCGUCUUUAGGGAGUUUUUAAAAACUUGGGGGAUAGUGCUUAUGAUAUCAUGAAAAAACACAAACACUGUGUAAUUUCAUGUACAUUAAAAAUAGGUGUGAUCAAGUGAAAAGAGACUUCUUACCCUGCCUUCCCCAAGAUCCCACACCCACCCCUAUUUCCCUUCCAAGUGAUUAAAGGAGUCGGUAACUUGAGUACAA